rnacentral:rRNA from 1 species
CCUACGGGAGGCAGCAGUGAGGAAUAUUGGUCAAUGGGCGGGAGCCUGAACCAGCCACGUCGCGUGAGGGAAGACGGUCCUAUGGAUUGUAAACCUCUUUAGUCGGGGAGCAAUGCCGGGCACGCGUGCCCGUAGGCAUAGUACCCUCAGACUAAGCAUCGGCUAACUCCGUGCCAGCAGCCGCGGUAAUCGGGAGGAUGCGAGCGUUAUCCGGCUUUAUUGGGUUUAAAGGGUGCGUAGGCGGAUUUUUAAGUCAGCGGUAAAAUGUCCGGGCUCAACCCGGGCCGGCCGUUGAAACUGGGGAUCUGGAGUGGGGGAGAGGUAUGCGGAAUGCGUGGUGUAGCGGUGAAAUGCAUAGAUAUCACGAAGAACUCCGAUUGCGAAGGCAGCAUACCGGAGUGUGACUGACGCUGAGGCACGAAAGCGUGGGGAUCGAACAGGAUUAGAUACCCUUGUAGUC